CGUUGGAUGCAUCCGGGAAUACAUGGAUCAGGAAACAAAGCAGAUAUUAUACAAGCCGGACUUCAUCAUUGCUGAGCGUGAGGUUCAGCCCAGUGACCCAACAACUUAGGAGAUCAAUACAACAGAGUAACAAACAGAAACUACACCUGCUACCGACACACCAACAUGCUCCUUCACUCCCGCAGGAGCACCUCUUUUUUCUCUCUUUGUAUAUAUGUUCUUUGGCAUGGAAACCUUUUAUAAUAUUUCAUAGGGAGAUCUUUUUUAAUAUUUGGCAUGGAGAGCAUGCUAAACCUCAACCUGUGAGUUCAUAAUACUUUGCAAAAGCUGAGCCAUCGUGAUUUUCUCUUAUAAAAUUAUCUUUGUGAGUUUA